rnacentral:rRNA from 1 species
UCNUAGGGGNGCAGCAGUAGGNAAUCUUCNGGAAANCNUGANGGAGCAACGCNGCGUAGUGAGGAAGGUUUUCGGAUGGUAAAGUUCUGUUGCCAGGGAAGAACAGGCAGCUNUUGAGCAGUUGUCAUGACGGUACNUGAGAAGAAAGCCCCGGCUAANUACGUGCCAGCAGCCGCGGUAAUACGUAGGGGGCAAGCGUUUUCCGGAAUUAUUGGGGGUAAAGGGCGCGCAGGCGGUCUUUUAAGUCUUGUGUUUAAACCCGGGGCUCAACCUCGGGACGCACGGGAAACUGGGAGGCUUGAGUGCAGGAGAGGAAAGUGGAAUUCCACGUGUAGCGGUGAAAUGUGUAGAGAUGUGGAGGAACACCCCUGGGGAAGGGGACUUUCUGGCCUGCAACUGACGCUGAGGCGCGAAAGCGUGGGGAGCGAACACGAUUAGAUACCCCGGUAGUCCACGCCCUAAACGAUGAAUGCUAGGUGUUUGGGAGCACGAACUCNUUAGUGGAAGUUAACNCAUAAGCCCNCNU